UUGCAGCCGUCGCCGCCCCUGCUGCUCCCGCUGCCGCUCCUGCCGUCGCAACCCCUACCACCCUCCCACCGCCGCUCCCGCCGCCCCUUUUACUACCUCGCCCGCCGCCGCUCCUGCCGCCCCUUCCGCCGCUACUUCCGCCGCUACUUCCGCCCUUUCCGCCGCUGCCUCCGCCCUUUCCGCCGCUGCCUCCGCCCCUGACGCUGCCGCCGGAAAAAUACCUCCCUCGCUACACCGCCCCUUUUAUAACCUCGCCCGCUCCCGCCUCCCAGCCAAUCACUGCGCCGCUCGCCUCACAGCGAGGGCGGGACAUGGAGGCGGUGGGGCAGCGUCGGCUAAUCCCUGGCCGCCUCUCCCUUAGCUACAGCGCGCAGCUGAGGGGACGCCUUCCCGCCUAGCGACUGGCGGCCAAUCAGCGGUGCCCCUCGGUGUGAGGGAGCGGUGGCGGCGGCCGGGGAGGAGGGAGGAGAAGGUGGCGGCGGCGACGACGACGAUGGCUGAAACGCGGCUUUAUCUUCAACAGAUGUGCGGCUAUGAAGCUUAGCGGGGCUCAGCUCGGUGCGGGGCCGUCCAGGAGCAGCUGGGCAAAGGACCAGGCUGCUGUUGUGGGCUCCAUCGUUUGCCCCAGCUCCUGCCUCAGCACCAGCGUCACCCGGUGCCAGGGCCGCGGGGCCAGCCAUGUCCGGUGCUGCUGCACUUCUGUGGGGAUGGAGAUGAUGAGGAAGAGCCCGUGGAUCAGGAUGAAGAGAGAUUAACCCUCACCCUGCCAAAACCUCUGCACGUGAAGGACGUGCACCAGCUCCCCGCGCCACAGCGGCAGCCCCAUGGUGCCCCAUAGCGACCCAGAGAACCUCAUGGACACUCCAUAGAGCCCCGUACACCCCAUAGACAUCGCAUAGAGCCGUACGGUGUCCCAUAGACACCCCACAGCAACCCAUGGACCGUCCAUAGUGACCCAUAAAUGCCUGUAACUACCCAGCGUGACCCACACACUGCCCCAUGGCAACCCAUAUCACCCCAUAGACACCCUCCACUGCCGCAUAGCGUCCUAUAGACCCACAACUCACACCCCACAGCUUUUAUUGACUACUGGCAUUGCAAUAACAGCAGCAGCAGAAUCUGCAUACAUGGCACCCGAUAGGGACCCCACUACCCCCCAUGGCCUGUAAGUGCUCCAACACCCAUGAAUUUUUUUACUCAGUUUCAUUCAUUUUUCUUCACUUUUUCAUAAUUUAUAAUUGCUUGUUUUCACUUUUUGUUGAAUUUCUUCAGUUUAAUUCACUUUUUAUUUGGUUUUUAGUCAAUUUUUGUUCCCUUUUCUUCAAGUUGUAGUCAGGUUGAUUCACUUUUUAUUCCCUUUUUAAUGACAUUAUGGUGGGUCUGGGCUGGGUGUGAAGCCAAGGCGGGAAUAAUAAAGUCCUGGGGGUGUGA